AAUGAACGCUGGCGGCAUGCCUAACACAUGCAAGUCGAACGAAGGCUUCGGCCUUAGUGGCGCACGGGUGCGUAACGCGUGGGAAUCUGCCCUCAGGUUCGGAAUAACAGCGAGAAAUUGCUGCUAAUACCGGAUGAUAUCGCGAGAUCAAAGAUUUAUCGCCUGAGGAUGAGCCCGCGUAGGAUUAGCUAGUUGGUGUGGUAAAGGCGCACCAAGGCGACGAUCCUUCGCUGGUCUGAGAGGAUGAUCAGCCACACUGGGACUGAGACACGGCCCAGACUGCUACGGGAGGCAGCAGUGGGGAAUAUUGGACAAUGGGCGAAAGCCUGAUCCAGCAAUGCCGCGUGAGUGAUGAAGGCCUUAGGGUUGUAAAGCUCUUUUACCCGGGAUGAUAAUGACAGUACCGGGAGAAUAAGCUCCGGCUAACUCCGUGCCAGCCGCCGCAGUAA
rnacentral:rRNA from 1 species